GACGAACGCUGGCGGCGUGCUUAACACAUGCAAGUCGAACCGUGGCGAACGGGUGAGUAACACGUGAGUAACCUGCCCUCCACUUUGGGAUAACUCCGAGAAAUCGGGGCUAAUACUGGAUAGUGGGGGAUGGGGUCGCGGCCUAUUAGUUUGUUGGUGCGGUAGUGGUCACCAAGGGGUGACGGGUAGCCGGCCUGAGAGGGGGACCGGCCACACUGGGACUGAGACAGGGACCAGACUCCUACGGGAGGCAGCAGUGGGGAAUAUGGCACAGUAGGCGAACGCGUGAUGCAGAGACGCCGGGUGGGGGAUGACGGCCUUCGGGUUGUAAACCUCGUUCAGCAAGGAAGCGGUACUUGCAGAAGAAGCGCCGGCUAACUACGUGCCAGCAGCCGCGGUAAUUC
rnacentral:rRNA from 1 species